rnacentral:rRNA from 1 species
UGGGGAAUUUUCCGCAAUGGGCGAAAGCCUGACGGAGCAACGCCGCGUGAGGGAUGAAGGCCUCUGGGCUGUAAACCUCUUUUAUCAAGGAAGAAGAUCUGACGGUACUUGAUGAAUAAGCCACGGCUAAUUCCGUGCCAGCAGCCGCGGUAAUACGGGAGUGGCAAGCGUUAUCCGGAAUUAUUGGGCGUAAAGCGUCCGCAGGCGGCCCAACAAGUCUGCUGUUAAAAAGUGGAGCUUAACUCCAUCAUGGCAGUGGAAACUGUUGGGCUAGAGUGUGGUAGGGGCAGAGGGAAUUCCCGGUGUAGCGGUGAAAUGCGUAGAUAUCGGGAAGAACACCAGUGGCGAAGGCGCUCUGCUGGGCCAUCACUGACGCUCAUGGACGAAAGCCAGGGGAGCGAAAGGGAUUAGAUACCCCUGUAGUCCUGGCCGUAAAACGAUGAACACUAGGUGUCGGGGGAAUCGACCCCUCCGGUGUCGUAGCCAACGCGUUAAGUGUUCCGCCUGGGGAGUACGCACGCAAGUGUG